UGGUUCUGGCUUCGAUGAAGAACGCAGCGAAAUGCGAUAAGUAAUGUGAAUUGCAGAAUUCAGUGAAUCAUCGAAUCUUUGAACGCGCAUUGCGCCCCUUGGUAUUUCGAGGGGCAUGCCUGUUCGAGCGUCAUUACACCCCUCAAGCACUGCUUGGUCUUGGGCUCCGCCGCUCACCCGGCGGGCCUCAAAACGAGUGGCGGCGCCAUCAGGCUCUGAGCGUAGUAAAUUUCCUCGCUACGGAGUCCUGGUGGACGCUGGCCACCAACCCCCAACUCUCUAAGUUUGACCUCGGAUCAGGUAGGGAUACCCGCUGA
rnacentral:misc_RNA from 1 species